ACCAGGAUGGCCCAGUGGUUUAAGGCGAUGGACUUAAGAUCCAAUGGACGGGUGGCGGCGUGGCUUCGAGCCCCACUUCUGGUA